UGCCCAACAAUAUACCACAAUCCUGAUUCAUUAGAAAGGCAAAUGCAGUGAGGUACAAAACUAUCUGGGUAUAAGAAAGGAGUAAAUAUGGAGACUUAUAACCAGUCUGUGAUGAUAAUGUAACAAGCUAUGGAAAUGGAACACUAUUAAGGGCAUUGCUGUUGGUACACCAUAUUGGGGCAAUCUGAAGUGCUUUAUUGCUAAUGAAAACAGGGCAUUGCUGUUGGUACACCAUAUUGGGGCAAUCUGAAGUGCCUUUAUUGCUAAUGAAAACAGGGCAUUGCUGUUGGUACACCAUAUUGGGGCAAUCUGAAGUGCCUUUAUUGCUAAUGAAAACAGGGCAUUGCUGUUGGUACACCAUAUUGGGGCAAUCUGAAGUGCCUUUAUUGCUAAUGAAAACAGGGCAUUGCUGUUGGUACACCAUAUUGGGGCAAUCUGAGCAUAGCAGUGCCAGAUGUGCUGGUACUGUUUUUUUUUUUACAGGACUAAGGCUAAUUUCAAAUACACAAGUCUGGACAAAGGCAUGAUACCAUUCAAAUGUUUGACCACUCAAAAUGUCUUGCUGGAAACUGUGCUUUCACAAUACUGCACAAAUUUUUUUACACUGUCUACAUUGGUCUCAUACAGCUAGAUGUCUCUUUUGUCCAGACAGAGGAGGUCCCACGAAAAGGGACAUGUAACUCGCACAAGUAUUUGACCAGUCGGUACCGUGUAAAAAGAACAUACUGUAAGAGGGGAACAUCAGGGGAACUCCAAACUGCAGGACAGUAUAAAAAAUAAACAAAGAAAGUAAAUAUGAAAAAUUGCAACCACUUUUUAUCCUCAAACGCAAACCCAGCAAAAUACAAAGAAAGAAGGCCUCUGUAAGCAAGGAAAAUAAAUAAAAAAAACUAAAUAUU